rnacentral:rRNA from 1 species
GACGAACGCUGGCGGCGUGCUUAACACAUGCAAGUCGAACGGAAAGGCCCUGCUUUUGUGGGGUGCUCGAGUGGCGAACGGGUGAGUAACACGUGAGUAACCUGCCCUUGACUUUGGGAUAACUUCAGGAAACUGGGGCUAAUACCGGAUAGGAGCUCCUGCUGCAUGGUGGGGGUUGGAAAGUUUCGGCGGUUGGGGAUGGACUCGCGGCUUAUCAGCUUGUUGGUGGGGUAGUGGCUUACCAAAGCUUUGACGGGUAGCCGGCCUGAGAGGGUGACCGGCCACAUUGGGACUGAGAUACGGCCCAGACUCCUACGGGAGGCAGCAGUGGGGAAUAUUGCACAAUGGGCGGAAGCCUGAUGCAGCAACGCCGCGUGCGGGAUGACGGCCUUCGGGUUGUAAACCGCUUUCGCCUGUGACGAAGUGUGAGUGACGGUAAUGGGUAAAGAAGCACCGGCUAACUACGUG